rnacentral:rRNA from 1 species
GGUUACUGCUAUCGGGGUCCGACUAAGCCAUGCGAGUUGAGAGGGGUAAGCCCUCGGCAUACUGCUCAGUAACACGCGGAUAACCUGCCCUUGGGUCCGGGAUAACCCCGGGAAACUGGGACUAAUACCGGAUAGAUCAGAGAAACUGGAAUGUUCUCUGGUUCAAAACUCCGGUGCCCAAGGAUGGGUCUGCGGCCUAUCAGGUAGCAGUGGGUGUAACGUACCUACUAGCCAGCGACGGGUAAGGGUUGUGAGAGCAAGAUCCCUGAGAUGGAUUCUGAGACAUGAAUCCAGGCCCUACGGGGUGCAGCAGGCGCGAAAACUUUACACUGCGGGAAACCGCGAUAAGGGGACCCCGAGUGCCAGCACCUAGUGCUGGCUGUCCUACUGUCUAAAUAACAGUGGUUAGCAAGGGCCGGGCAAGACCGGUGCCAGCCGCCGCGGUAACACCGGCGGCCCGAGUGGUAACCGUUUUUAUUGGGUUUAAAGGGUCCGUAGCCGGCUUACUAAGUCUCUUGGGAAAUCUGGCGGCUCAAUCGUCAGGCGGCCAAGAGAUACUGGUAGGCUUGGGACCGGGAGAGGUGGGAGGUACUCCAGGGGUAGGGGUGAAAUCUCGUAAUCCUUGGGGGACCACCGAUGGCGAAGGCAUCCCACCAGAACGGGUCCGACGGUGAGGGACGAAAGCUGGGGGCACGAACCGGAUUAGAUACCCGGGUAGUCCCAGCUGUAAACGAUGCUCGCUAGGUGUCAGGUGCGGUGCGACCGCAUCUGGUGCCGCAGUGAAAACUUGAAGCGAGUCACCUGGGAAGUACGGUCGCAAGGCUGAAACUUAAAGGAAUUGGCGGGGGAGCACUACAACGGGUGGAGCCUGCGGUUC